rnacentral:lncRNA from 1 species
AUUGGAGAUAAGGAGUGUAAUAACUUUUUAUCCCCUUUAUAUUUAAAUGCUAAUUUUUUAUUUAAAAAUAGUAAUUUUUGGAUAUUCGAAAUAAAUUGAUAUAACUAUUUUCAUCAACAUCUUCAUUUUCUAUAUAUAACUACUCAUUAUUUUUCUCAUUUCAUAUUAUUUAUCCAAAUGUUAUUUUUUUUAUUUCCGGAAACAAUCCAAUUUUCAUCCAAAUGCUAUUUUUGUUAUCUUCAUACUUAUACCUAUCUCUAUUUCUGGUUUAUACCCGAACCUUAUUUUAUUAUUAUAAAAAACACAAUUAAUUAAUUAUAUAUUAAUUUUUAUUUAUAUUUAUAUAUAUAUAU